rnacentral:rRNA from 3 species
UACGUAGGUGGCAAGCGUUAUCCGGAUUCACUGGGCGUAAAGCGCGUGCAGGCGGUUUCGUAAGUCGGACGUGAAAGCUCCUGGCUUAACUGGGAGAGGUCGUUCGAUACUGCGGGGCUUGAGGUCGGGAGAGGGACGUGGAAUUCCCGGUGUAGUGGUGGAAUGCGUAGAUAUCGGGAGGAACACCAGUGGCGAAGGCGACGUCCUGGCCCGCACCUGACGCUGAGACGCGAAAGCGUGGGUAGCAAACGGG